AACGCGAAGAACCUUACCGGCUCUUGACAUGGGUAUCGCGGGAUCCAGAGAUGGAUCCCAUCAGUUCGGCUGGAUACCACACAGGUGCUGCAUGGCUGUCGUCAGCUCGUGUCGUGAGAUGUUGGGUUAAGUCCCGCAACGAGCGCAACCCUCGUCUUCAGUUGCCAUCAGUUCGGUUGAGCACUCUGACGAAACUGCCGGUGAUAAGCCGGAGGAAGGUGGGGAUGACGUCAAGUCUUCAUGGUCCUUACGACCUGGGCUACACACGUGCUACAAUGGCGAUGACAAUGGGGAGCUAACCUGCAAGGGUGUGCAAAUCUCAAAAAGUCGUCUCAGUUCGGAUUGCACUCUGCAACUCGAGUGCAUGAAGCUGGAAUCGCUAGUAAUCGUAGAUCAGCAUGCUACGGUGAAUACGUUCCCGGGCCUUGUACACACCGCGCAUA
rnacentral:rRNA from 1 species